rnacentral:rRNA from 1 species
GUCCUAGCCGUAAACGAUGGGCACUUGGCAGGGGGGUAACCUAUGGUCCUCUCUGCCGAAGCAAAUGUGCUAAGUGCCCCGCCUGGGGGAGUACGCUCGCAAGGGUAAAACUCAAAGAAAUUGACGGGGGCUCACACAAGAGGUGGAGCAUGUGGUUUAAUUCGAAGCAACGCGAAGAACCUUACCUGGCCUUGACAUGCACGGAUUAGUCCCAUGAAAGUGGGAUUACAGCCCUUCGGGGUCGGAACGUGCACAGGUGUUGCAUGGCUGUCGU